UAAGUGUGCUACAUGCCUAAUGCUUUCCAUGU
rnacentral:piRNA from 1 species